rnacentral:rRNA from 1 species
UACGUAGGGCGCAAGCGUUGUCCGGAAUUAUUGGGCGUAAAGAGCUCGUAGGCGGCUUGUUGCGUCGGUUGUGAAAGCCCGGGGCUUAACCCCGGGUCUGCAGUCGAUACGGGCAGGCUAGAGUGUGGUAGGGGAGAUCGGAAUUCCUGGUGUAGCGGUGAAAUGCGCAGAUAUCAGGAGGAACACCAGGUGGCGAAGGCG